UCCCUAGGUAGCAAACUGCAACUUAACUUCAUAUGAAAACAAUCUACAACUGUAACAUAUUCUGUAACAAAUAACUGAGAUGCAGUUAAUCAUAGCAGCUGGGUUUUAACCAGUCAUGGGAUAACAACUGAUCAGACCAUGUAUCUGUAUAAGGCAAGUGCUUCAUCACACCGUGCCUGAAUCAGGAAUAUAGAGAUAAGAUAAGGAGAAGCUUUUCACGGGUCAUAAGCUCUUGGAAUGCAGAAAUGUUUGCAAGGCAGAAAGACAAUUAUUAUAUGUAUCCAAGGAGUCAACACACAUUAAAAUAUGUGUUCUGAAUUACUAUAUUAUGAGGCUCCUCAGGCAAAAAGCAAUGGAGAAUGCCUUCCUAUUUUCCUCAUUUUAUCUUUUCUUUCCUAAUGAGCUUACAGUUUCUUAAUGCUGUAUACCAGUUCUUAUUACUUUAAAUUAUCCAAUUCAGAAGAAAGGAAAGAGGGAGAGAGAGAAGAAGAAAAGGAGAGAGGGGAAAAGAAAAGAAAAGAAAGGAGGAAGGAAGAAUUACAUCUUUGUUUAAUGUGAAGUGCAUGCUGUUUUUGGUAAUAUAAUUCCCCUUCUAUGAAAAAAUUAACUUCUUCACUGUGAGUACCUAAUUCUGACUUUAUAGAUUUGAAAAGAAUAAUAGAAUUAUUAAUGCUGGAGAAAAAAAUUAAAGAUUAUUUGCUCUGGCCUUUGUAUUUUACUCGGAAUAUUUUAAUAACUUGUCUAAGACAGCUAGCACAGCUGACUAAUAUUCAAGCGAGAAUUAAACCUUCAAACCCUACACCUUUAGAUUCCUAGGCCAGGUUUCUUUCUGUUAUUUAAUCCAAUCAUCUUUAAAUCUUCACAGCUUUAAGCAACAUCGCUGAUCUCAUUUAUACUCAGGAUGAUCACAAUAUACUGAGGUUUUAUGAUUAAUCUUGUUGCCAUAUCUCAUUCUUAUGUUAAAAGGCAAAUUCCAAUUUACAAAUUUUUAAUUCACCACUUUCAUAGAAGUGAUAACUAACUUUGCUAUCAUCUUUGGGACUAUGUCAUUUGCUUAAGAAUCAUGUUUCUGUGUGUGAAAGGCACUGAAUUUAUUCUGAAGUUGCAUCUUUUAGUGCAUGGAUGCUAAUUAUCUGUGACAUACAAAUUAGUGAUUAGUGAUCAUUAGCAAUAACUUUAAAUAUGUAAUGCAUAAUGAUUCUGUUGCAGUCAUUUUUAUGGCUAUGUUGAGAAAACAUAAUUUAUCUGUAACAUUUUACUGACUUUAAAACACAUAUAUAAAGUAUAUUUUUUAAUAUAGAGGCAAAAUGAAUAAAAAAUUGUUUAACUUCUAGAAUUUAUUUUUCAGUUAGAAACAUUAUAUAAAUUAUUAUAUUCAUUCAUUUCAAGGCAAGAGACAUACCUCUUAUUAUAGAAGAAAUAUCAAGUAAGUUUAAGAAUAUUAUUUUCUUUUUUACUGUUUUGCUGUUUCUUAUCAUUUUUGGUCUACACUUACAAAUGUUUGGGCUCAUAAUCUGCUCUAAAUAUAUGCUAGAAGACAAAGCUGAAGGCUUGCCCCUAGGUAGAAUAUAAUCUUUCUGUAUAUGAUGCAUUAAAUAUAUUUAUACCUGUUAUUAUGUCCUAUGUGAAUGAUUAGCUAGUUAAUUGAUUAACGAUUAUAGCUAGUUACUUAAUAUAAUUUAUUAAGCAAGAAAACACAAAGGAGACAAAAAUGACCAUAGAUACCAUGUCUAUACCGUGUCUCUGACUUAAGUAAUCACACAUUUUAGAAGAGAAGACAGACUAUUAAACAGAUAAUUGCACUGUGAAUCUGAUAAUGCAAUGCAAUAUGAGCAACUGCUAUGGAAUUACAGAAGACAGGGUAGCUUUGUGUGCUCAAUUUAAUCAGAUAUACUUUAUCAAAAAUAUAUUUGUACUUCAUCUGGGUGGUUAGAUAAGGUUUGUGAGAUGGGUAGGUGUUAGAAAAUCAUAUAUCUGUAGAUAGAGAG